AAACUCAAAGGAAUUGACGGGGGCCCGCACAAGCAGCGGAGCGUGUGGUUUAAUUCGAUGAUACGCGAAGAACCUCACCCAGGUUUGACAUGCAUGUGGUACGGAUGUGAAAGCUGAAGGACCCUUCGGGGAGCAUGCACAGGUGUUGCACGGCCGUCGUCAGCUCGUGCCGUGAGGUGUUGGGUUAAGUCCCGCAACGAGCGCAACCCCUGUCGCCAGUUGUAUUUUCUGGCGAGACUGCCGAGAAACCUCGGAGGAAGGAGGGGACGAUGUCAGGUCAGCGUGGCCCUUACGCCUGGGGCUACACACACGCUACAAUGGGUGGUACAACGGGCAGCCAAGCCGCGAGGCGGAGCUAAUCCCAUCAAAACCAUCCUCAGUUCGGAUUGCAGGCUGAAACUCGCCUGCAUGAAGCCGGAGUUGCUAGUAAACGCAGGUCAGCAUUACUGCGUUGAAUACGUUCCCGGGCCUUGUACACACCGCCCGUCACGUCAUGAAAGUUGGUAACA
rnacentral:rRNA from 1 species